rnacentral:rRNA from 1 species
AUCUACACUGACGAGGAGGCAUACUGGCGCUUGCGGGGUACGCAGAAUUGGGUCCUCAAGGGGGACGCUAAUACUGCCUACUCCCAGGCUAUUGCUAACGACCGUAGACGUCGUAACUCCAUCCCCCUCCCGUGGGACGAACCGACCCUCCUACAGCGGCCGGAGGACAUCCGGGCACAUGUCGACGGCUUCUAAAGAGACCUAUUCUCUGCCUGCCCUUGGGGAGGUCUUGCACUAGCGCAAGACAUUUGGCCUGCUCACUGUUGCGUCUCGCCUGCGGAUAACGCGGCCCUCAUGGCGCCGUUCUCUGAGGCGGAAGUGUAG